GACGAACGCUGGCGGCGUGCUUAACACAUGCAAGUCGAACGGAAAGGCCCUGCUUUUGUGGGGUGCUCGAGUGGCGAACGGGUGAGUAACACGUGAGUAACCUGCCCUUCACUUUGGGAUAACUUCAGGAAACUGGGGCUAAUACCGGACAGGAGCUCCUGCUGCAUGGUGGGGGUUGGAAAGUUUCGGCGGUUGGGGAUGGACUCGCGGCUUAUCAGCUUGUUGGUGGGGUAGUGGCAUACCAAGGCUUUGACGGGUAGCCGGCCUGAGAGGGUGACCGGGCACAUUGGGCCUGAGAUACGGCCCAGACUCGUACGGGAGGCAGCAGUGGGGAAUAUUGCACAAUGGGCGGAAGCCUGAUGCAGCAACGCCGCGUGCGGGAUGACGGCCUUCGGGUUGAGAACCGCUUUCGCUUGUGACGAAGCGUGAGUGACGGUAAUGGGUGAAGAAGCACCGGCUAACUACGUG
rnacentral:rRNA from 1 species